rnacentral:rRNA from 1 species
AAUAGAUACCCUGGUAGUCCACGCUGUAAACGAUGAGAACUAGGUGUCGUGGGUGUUGACCCCCGCGGUGCCGUAGCUAACGCAUUAAGUUCUCCGCCUGGGAAGUACGGUCGCAAGACUAAAACUCAAAGGAAUUGACGGGGGCCCGCACAAGCGGUGGAGCAUGUGGUUUGAUUCGACGCAACGCGCAGAACCUUACCUGGUCUUGACAUCCUUCGAAGUUGGCCCAAAAGCCGACGUGCCCGCAAGGGAGCGGAGAGACAGGUGCUGCAUGGCUGUCGUCAACUCGUGUCGUGAGAUGUUGGGUUAAGUCCCGCAACGAGCGCAACCCUCGCCUUUAGUUGCCACGCAAGUGGAUCUCUAGAGGGACUGCCGGUGUUAAACCGGAGGAAGGUGGGGAUGACGUCAAGUCCUCAUGGCCUUUAUGACCAGGGCUACACACGUGCUACAAUGGCCGGUACAAUGCGCAGCCAACUCGCGAGAGGGAGCCAAUCGCAUAAAACCGGUCUCAGUUCGGAUUGGAGUCUGCAACUCG